GCGGCCAUAGUUCAAAGGUAGAACCUUAGCCUUCCAAGCUAAUGAUGCGGGUUCGAUUCCCGCUGGCCGCUCCA
rnacentral:tRNA from 1 species